rnacentral:pre_miRNA from 1 species
GAUUCAACUUGAAAAAGACAUUAACAACAAAUUGUAUAACUCAUCAAGAUCUAUAACUUUUAUUUUUGUUAUUUCUUCAUCCGAUAAAGUGAUAGUAACAUUGUUUAUAAAAUUUACAUAUCUCUCAUUUGGUUUUAUAAACUAUAAGAGAGAUGUAAAUUUUGUGAACAAUAUUACUAUCAUUUUGUCGGAUGAAGAAAUGACCAAAAUAAAAGUUGUAUGUCUUGAUGAGUUCUACAACUUUUAUGUUCAUGACUUUUUCAGCUGAAAUU